AAGUCGAACGAUAAGCCAUCUUCGGAUGGUGGACAGUGGCGCACGGGUGAGUAACACGUGGGGACCUGCCUGAUAGUAAGGGACAACAGUUGGAAACGACUGCUAAUACCUUAUACGCCCUUAGGGGGAAAGAUUUAUCGCUAUCAGAUGGACCCGCGCUAGAUUAGAUAGUUGGUGAGGUAAUGGCUCACCAAGUCUAUGAUCAAUAGCUGAUUUGAGAGGAUGAUCGGCCACAUUGGGACUGAGACACGGCCCAAACUCC
rnacentral:rRNA from 1 species